CCUACGGGGGGCUGCAGUGGGGAAUAUUGGACAAUGGGGGCAACCCUGAUCCAGCCAUGCCGCGUGUGUGAAGAAGGCCCUCGGGUUGUAAGGCACUUUCAGUGAGGAAGAACGCCUGGUGGUUAAUACCCAUCAGGAAAGACAUCACUCACAGAAGAAGCACCGGCUAACUCCGUGCCAGCAGCCGCGGUAAUACGGAGGGUGCGAGCGUUAAUCGGAAUUACUGGGCGUAAAGCGCGCGUAGGUGGCUUGAUAAGCCGGUUGUGAAAGCCCCGGGCUCAACCUGGGAACGGCAUCCGGAACUGUCAAGCUAGAGUGCAGGAGAGGAAGGUAGAAUUCCCGGUGUAGCGGUGAAAUGCGUAGAGAUCGGGAGGAAUACCAGUGGCGAAGGCGGCCUUCUGGACUGACACUGACACUGAGGUGCGAAAGCGUGGGUAGCAAACAGGAUUAGAUACCCGAGUAGUC
rnacentral:rRNA from 1 species